rnacentral:sRNA from 1 species
CUCUGUACGGGAAGGAUGAGAAGCUUCGACUAAGGUUCGAUUCGAGCGAAAGCGAGAAAGCGUUGCCAACGGCAACGACCCGAAGGGCGAAGCGCGCAGCGCUGAGUAAUCCUUCCCCCGUCAUCC